ensembl:lncRNA
UCCAGGUAAAAAAGAUUUACUGAUUUAUGUAACAAAAACAGAUCUUUUUUCUUUUCUUUAGCUAAAAUAAAUGUCUACUUCUUCAUACUCUUAAUGACAGUAUCAAAACGCUUCAUUGAGGACAGAUAUACACUGUAGAAGGAAUCUGUGGCGUGGAUAUUGAAGGGUCGUUCUCGUAACACACGAUGCUUCUCAAAGGGGUCUCGGUCACUGUAACACAGCACAGAUACACUGUAACACAGCACAGAUACACUGUAACACAGCACAGAUACACUGUAACACACAACAGAUACACUGUAACACAUAACAGAUACACUGUAACAGAUACACUGUAACAGAUACACUGUAACACAUAACAGAUACACUGUAACAGAUACACUGUAACAGAUACACUGUAACAGAUACACUGUAACACACAACAGAUACACUGUAACACACAACAGAUACACUGUAACACAUAACAGAUACACUGUAACACACAACAGAUACACUGUAACAAAUACACUGUAACAGAUACACUGUAACACACAACAGAUACACUGUAACAGAUACACUGUAACAGAUACACUGUAACAGAUAACAGAUACACUGUAACAGAUACACUGUAACACACAACAGAUACACUAUAACACAGCACAGAUACACUGUAACACAGCACAGAUACACUGUAACACAGCACAUACACUGUAACACAGCACAGAUACACUGUAACACAGCACAGAUACACUGUAACACAGCACAGAUACACUGUAACACACAACAGAUACACUCUAACAGAUACACUGUAACAGAUACACUGUAACAGCUAACAGAUACACUGUAACAGCUAACAGAUACACUGUAACACGUAACAGAUAUGCUGUGACACAUAACAGUGAUUCUGUGGUCUAUCUUCUUGACGGAGUCUUGGACGGUACAGAACGAGUCUUCUUGGGCACCUUCUUACUGCCCUUAGCCUUUUUAGGGGGGUCUGACAAGGGGAGGGAGGGAGCGAGGGAGGAGGGGUUGGGUUUGCCGGUUGCCUCCCUCAGCAGAACGUUGGUGCGUUCGGUAGGAGGGGCUUCAGGGUCAACGACGAGUUGACAGAGGUCGUCUGGGUGAGGGGUCAUUGACG